UCGGCCUGCGCGGAAGAUUUAACGGGGCUAAGCUAUACACCGAAGCUGCGGCAAUGUGAAUUUAUUCACAUUGGGUAGGGGAGCGUUCUGUAAGCCGUUGAAGGUGCAUUGUAAAGUGUGCUGGAGGUAUCAGAAGUGCGAAUGCUGACAUGAGUAACGAUAAAGGGAGUGAAAAACUCCCUCGCCGGAAGAUCAAGGGUUCCUGUCCAACGUUAAUCGGGGCAGGGUAAGUCGACCCCUAAGGCGAGGCCGAAAGGCGUAGUCGAUGGGAAACGGGUUAAUAUUCCCGUACUUCUUAUAAUUGCGAUGGAGGGACGGAGAAGGCUAGGUGAGCCUGGCGACGGUUGUCCAGGUCCAAGUAUGUAGGCUGAUGAAUUAGGCAAAUCCGGUUCAUCUUAAGGCUGAGAUACGAUGUCGAGCUACUACGGUAGUGAAGUCAUUGAUGCCAUGCUUCCGGGAAAAGCUUCUAAGC
rnacentral:rRNA from 1 species